CGUGGAAACACGGAUUCCCGUACAAUCAACGAAGUUAAGCAACGUCAGGUCUGGUCGGUACCUUGAUGGGUGACCGCUUGGAAAUAGCUGGUGUU